UCUAGACUUGUGUUACUUAGCAGCAGGAAAUUACAACGAAAAUCUAAUUAUUGACAUCAUGUUUAAUCUAAUUUUAAACCUAUAUCACUAUGAGUCAUGCACUUUUGAUUUCAUCUCAAUACAGAAACCUUGCACAUCUAAAAGAGGUCCAAAAACUCAAAUGCAUACAUCCAUUUAUCUAGAGUACCCAUAGACUGAUGCCAAUCAUGCCAAUACUCAUAACAUCUUGCUUCAAAAAAAAAAGCAAACGAUCAGUCUUUUCAAUUGAAUACAUUAUGAUUCUCAAAUAAAAAUAAAUGAUAAGAUAGGGAUCAAAGUAAAGUAGUCUAAACACAUGAUUGACUACAUGCAUAAUAAACACUGAAUUUCUUAAAUCACAGUCCCUAUACACAGGACUUCAGAUGUCCUGAACUACUUACAUACCAACCAAACCAUCAGAUCAUGUGUUUUUAUCACAAAUUAAAAUGCAACAUGAAUUUCUAGGGAAUAACACACUAUAUCAAAAUGAACAAGUCAAGUUAAAUAUUAUUACACUACGUCAAUAGCUUCAGAAACUCUAAGUAAAAAUGCUAGCAUUGAUGAUUAAAAAAAAGUAUUCAUUCAUUCAUGGAAUCUUCAUGUGAUUAUUGCUCUCACACUUGUAUAUCAUCCUCUAUAGGAUCAAGGAAUACCUGGAAGUAAAUGACAAAAGGAAGAAUCAACAGUAAUGAUAGUAGGGAGUCAACAACAGGUUCCAGUAAGGAGUGUAAACCAUCAAAAGGAAUUUCAAACCCAAAAAUGAGGUGUUGCAACCCAGAAAUUAGUUUCAAACACAAAGUUAAACCAUCAGACCUCAAAGCCCAACCUUAAUGACUGAAUCUCAAACCAUUUCCAAGUCUAAACAAUCAGGGAAUUGGUUCAGGUAGAUGAGAUGAGAAAUUCAAAUUACUAAACUAAAGCUCAAUGGAACAGUCUUUUACUGCAGGGUGUUGCAGCUAUUUUUCUUGAUUUUUAUGAUAUUUUUGGCUCUUGAAACCUCUCAAUUUUGCAGAAUUUUUUUGCUCUUUUAAAAUC
rnacentral:lncRNA from 1 species